GACGAACGCUGGCGGCAUGCCUAAUACAUGCAAGUCGAGCGAACAGAUGAAGUGCUUGCACUUCUGACGUUAGCGGCGAACGGGUGAGUAACACGUAAGGAAUCUACCUAUAAGCGGGGGAUAACAUUCGGAAACGGGUGCUAAUACCGCAUAAUAUCUUCUUCCGCAUGGAAGAAGAUUGAAAGACGGCUCUGCUGUCACUUAUAGAUGACCUUGCGGUGCAUUAGUUAGUUGGUGGGGUAAUGGCCUACCAAGAAGAUGAGGCAGAGCCGACCUGAGAGGGUGAUCGGCCACAGUGGGACUGAGACACGGCCCAAACUCCUACGGGAGGCAGCAGUAGGGAAUCUUCCGCAAUGGGCGAAAGCCUGACGGAGCAAUGCCGCGUGAGUGAAGAAGGCCUUCGGGCCGUAAAACUCUGUUAUAAGAGAAGAACAAAUUGUAGAGUAACUGCUACAGUCUUGACGGUAUCUUAUCAGAAAGCCACGGCUAACUACGUGCCAGCCGCCGCGGUAA
rnacentral:rRNA from 1 species